rnacentral:rRNA from 1 species
UACAGAGGGGGCGAGCGUUAUUCGGAAUUAUUGGGCGUAAAGGGCGCGUAGGCGGCUUUGUAAGUGACGGGUGAAAGCCCUCGGCUUAACCGAGGAACUGCCUGUCAGACUGUGAGGCUUGAGACCGGGAGAGGUGAGUGGAAUUCCCAGUGUAGCGGUGAAAUGCGUAGAUAUUGGGAGGAACACCAGUGGCGAAGGCGGCUCACUGGACCGGAACUGACGCUGAGGCGCGAAAGCUAGGGGAGCAAACAGG